GUUCGCUGAGUGGUCCGAUACUUGGGGCCCGAUCAAAGAGCCCAAGCUGUUUUUUUUUAGGAUAACUACCCGUAAAGAUGUGAGGCCAGGGGCUAUUUCUGCUGCACCGAGAGUCCCGGUAAGCUCCCUGGGGGCUGUAAUGGGAUUGAGAAGGAGGACAGAAUGGGGGGGUUAAGACAACAGAGGUUUGUGGGGAGGUAAAGAGAGUUUGAUAAAGUGUGAGUCUGUGAAUCUGUGGCGCUGCCCAGCUUAAAAAAACGCAGGUCGUCCGCUCGGACCGGCAGGUAUCGCGAGGCUCCAGCUUAAAGAGGCACGUUUCAAUCCCACUGCCAGAGCUGCACAGCUGUUUGGCUGCUAGGUCUUUGGGAGAUUGUGUACCUGUGUGUAAAAUGUGUGUAUUUCCUUCUGGCGGAACGUGCUUUUGGACACACGAGGCCGUCCGCAUACAUACGCUUUAAGGAGAUUUACGGCAUCUCUUGAAAACAAAGCCGCUGUGCAGAGCGUUGAGAGACGAUUCUGCUGGUUUCCUGCAGCUCGGCGGCGUCACGGGUAUCUGUGGCAGAAGUGUAAUCAGGGCUGUGUGUGUCCUCCGGGGCUCUAAGUGAGGGAUGUUGUCAUUCUACACAGAGCCGGGGCCGGCUAGUUUUGCCCGGAGAUGGCCUGAUCAUUUACAUUGACACUGAUGGCGCCAUUAGCCAGCUGCUAGCAACCCCGUCAGACAUGUUUUUUUUUUUACGAGGCACAGUGAGUCUCUGAACGCUUCCCUGUUUGCUCUGUGUAUCUUUCAUUGUUAGUUUAUUUAACAAUUUGAAGGUCACGAUUCAACGAGAGCAGCUCAGAUUUGCCGUGAGAAAGACGUGCCAUUAUGACAGCAGACGUGUCAUUUUCAAAAUGUCAGAAGAGAUUGGUUAUCACCGCCGCCGGAGGCCUCUGUUUACCGAUCACUGACGAACGGCAGCUUGGGUAGUUGUUUUGAUGCGCAGGCACAAAUGUGGUCUUAAUAAAACAGUCAUGGAGUCGUGCACUGCAUUCCGAUUGGUCAAUCCGGAAGUUAGUCUCGCUCUAUUUCCCUGAGCUAAAAGCCAAUGGGAUGUUUCCUUUGGAUUUUGGACCGUUGAAGGAUAUAAACUCCGUGGCGAAAAAGCGUGUGUGAUACUUCAGCGGGAUAAUCUUCACAAACGAAGAGCACUUAGAUGAUUUUUGAAGCGUGAAUGGAUUCGUCGGGAGUAAAAAGUGAUGAUGUUUAGUGUUCUCAUUCAGCUGCUCGUCGGUCAGCAAAACAGCUUUUCAGGACACAUAAAGGCUACACAAUUUCCAUGAGGGGUAUUUACAGACAUAUUAUAUUUUAGAACAUUAAGCUGAUAUCUCUUGAGCUUUAUUGGAGAACAUACCUUAUUUCAGGCGUCCAUGUAACAGCAAACGCUGACUCUGAGAUGAAGGAAAUGGAAGUGCAAGAACCAUUUUCGUAUCGCAGGACUCAUAUCUGCAGAACUCUGCAGCUUUUCUCUGACUUGUCAAGCAGAUGUGUGAGUGAAAAAAACGCUGAAGCACUCUUUGGAUUUAUCUUUAAAAAGACAUCGUUACAAACAACAGCGCAAGAACAUUAAAACCGACAACCAAAGCGUCUUUUUCCCUCUUAAAUGACGACUCUCUUUAAGGUUGUCUUCUCAGAUCUCCAAACCAUCCUACUCAUUCAAUGCAAACAUGCAGAAAUGAGCUGUAAACAACAGGAGCUCAGGGGGCGGGCGAGUCUCCUUCAGCCACCAAGUCUGGACACAAUACAGGUCUAUAACUGAGCAGCCAAAUACUUGAAAGGCAGAUCUCCUUGUGACAGAUCACAGGAUGAUAUGUGUGUCUGAGUAUGUGUUCGUUAAUGGUGGGGAGAUAAAGAUGAGAGGAGAAACCUUAAUUCGGGCACUUUCGAGGAAUCUCACUUUGAUUACCAUCUUUUGAUAUAUGUGACAAGAUACAAGACACGCCAGGAAAGUUCAGCUUCGUUUUUCUCACACGUUCCUGAUUAAAUCAGUUGUACAAAUUUAGUGAUACACCAAGACUGGCAGUGUAGUUGAGUUGCUCCACGGGUGUUUUGCAGCACCCCACUGCACCUAAAUGUUUAGGGUGGAUUGAAUCCAGAGGUCAAAUGUCAUGUUUCUACCUGAAUAGGAAGCUCUGGAGGCAAAGCAAGUGAACUGACAGAGACCUUUUUUGCCAAAUAAGGUUUAGGCAACAUGAACAUUUGCAGCAAGGCUUGGGUAUUUUAAACGUACAUUUUACUUGGGUUUAUACAAUGCAUAAAUUGUAAUAAUUAUAUAGUAAAACAUAAUAUGCGACAUGUGUGACACAAAUGUAAACCCAUUUAGCUGAUAUGUUGGGCUGUUCUCUGGCUUGGAGCGGUUACCAGGCAACCGGUGGAGAUUCUUAGAAAUAACUGGUCAAGAAGUAUUUGGCAAAUCUGGCGAAUAAAACCUAAUGCAAAAUAAACCUAAAUUUUCUAAACAUUAAACGUUAAGAUUUAUUUUUGUGCUUACAGAUGUUAUGUUUGGGUACCUGAACCUAAGCACCUUUCUCUCAGUGCAUAUGCUCAGCUGUUACGACAGUUUGAAAGUCAUUUCCAUCAGCCUUAAGUCACUUAGUUCUUUUGUCAAGUUAAUGUCAGUCACCCAGACACAGCAAACAACCGCUCUUUUAAUUGGAAACGCCACAACCUUUGUGGGAGGAUUUGUGUACGGGGGAGUUUCAUUUGAGGGAAAUGAGUCAUAGAGCGUUUCAUUAAAAAAAAGGGUAGCGUGAGGCUGACUUAGGGUGGAUUUAAAAGUAAUGGUUUGUCAAAGCUCAGCAGCGGAGCUUAAUGUGUCAUCAGUUGUCGGCUUCAAAGGGGAUUGAUAUAAGUCUGAGGUUUAUCACUGUGAGUCAAAAAUAACUGUGGAAGCACACUUUAAUAAUCACAAAUUACUUCUCUAAUUUAUUCUAGGUCACACUUAAUGCAUGAGAUGGUGGUAACUUAUUUGGAUCCGCUUUACAGCCUCAUCCUUUUAAGCAUCGGCCAAGAUCGGUGUUACAUUUAAUGCACGACUGCAUUGUGGCCGUAUGAAUUUCCAUCAGCUUGUGCGUGAGGUGAUGUUUUUAUUUUUACCGCAAACAAAUGGACAAUCAGCGUUCACGGUAUUUUUUUUUCCACAUGUAUUAUGCAUCCUGGUUGACCUCAUAUUACUACAGGUCUUACUCCCAAGGGAUUAGCACGUCUCAUUCGCAUCGGCUGUUGCAGCCUCAGUGAAUGUAAAUGCAGACGGCGUCUAACUGCGUCCAUAAGGGCACAGGGGAGACUGUCCUGCUCUCCAGCCCAUUAAAGAGGACUCCAUUAUCUGCACUCUGUACUAGUAACACACACACACACACACACACACACACACACACGACAGCAAGCAGACGAUGAGCACAUAAAGUAGUCCACCUUAAGUAGCUCCCUUCCAACGCCACGCCAUGCAUAUUUUAUAAGAGGCGGCAUUAAAAGCCAAUGGAAUAAGGAAUGGCUGGCUAGGUAGCUGGGUUAGCUCCACGCCCUACUUCCCUUCUAGUUCAGACACCUUUUGCUUUUGUUGCUGAGAACCGGACACAGGGAUCGUUGAGCGAGCGAGACGGCAUCAAAGGCGAAGACGAAGAGGACCAAUGGCCCAACAACUGCUCACCCGGGACAGGAUUGGUUGCUGAAUAAAGAUGCCUGAGUAUCUCUUUUCUCUGUGUUUUUCCUUUCCCCUCAUUUACAACCUUUCCCGCUGGAGUUUUCACACCAACAGUAAAGUGGAGGCAAGGUCAAACCUGCAGAUGUGUUUUAAUACCUGGGGGGCGGAUCAGCCCUCCAGCUGAGAGACGGCGUACCGCUGUGCAUUGAACACACUGGACAGAGACCAAGAAACUGUACGUCGCUCACAAUAGCAGCUGGGUGGCAGCUUCGGCGUUUGAUGGUUUUAGUCGGAGUUUGCAUGUAUUUGUUUUUAUCGGCAUUUGAUUUGCUGUGUACUGAGGUUUGCAACAUGUUCCUGCCCGGUAAGUCAACGACCGGCGGUGUGAGUGACACGGGCGGGUCGUUCUGUGUGACACACUUUGGGGGGGGGGUACGGCAUUCGGAGGUCAGCCACGAGUCAGUUCUGUCGUACACACUCUGAACACUCACAACUCUCUUAUUCCCUGCGCUGUUCGCCCUCAUCUCUGAGAAUAAAUAUUUAACUUUGACCCCAGCUUUGUCCUUCAGCCUGGAAGCGGUCUGCAUGUGUGUAUCUCUGAGUGUACUUGCUCAUAAAAGACUGGAAGUGUAGCUGAACUAUUUAGUUUAUUUUUGGGUUAACCCGGCAAUUGAAUGCUUGUAAAUUAACACUUUGAGAUUCCCCAACAUCUAACAUCUCAGACCUGCUCAUGAAUUUCCCAAGCCAAGUUUAUUGAAUCGGCCAAUAGUUAACUUUUAACAACCUGUGCACAUCCCAGCGACCUUGCUAUUGUGUUGAUUUAAUAAGCAGUGCAGCCUUUAUUCCAGUGAAAAGCGUGUUUGUUUCAGCGAUCAUUCUCAAGACUAAACCAGAGCAACACGGGACCUUCUGACGUUGACUUAACGCUUGUUACAUAAAAUUAAUAAGAAUGUCUGCUAAAGUGAGACUACAUCACUCGAAUCCAAACCACUAUGUUUUUUUGAAUCUUAACCAAGUACUUUUGUGGCCUGAACCUAGCCAAUUGUUUCAAAAUGUUAACCACAUGACAUUGUGUUUUCUGCAAGCUACAAGGCUGACAUCAAACAUAUAUCUGACUCGGAAAAUGACAUUCAACAAAUCUUGCGGAUUGCCUUUAAAGUGCAAUGCCAAUAAUCUUAUUCUGGCAUCUGGGUUUCAUAGAGCUGCAAAUGAAAAAGUUAGAAUGGAGAAAAGCGUAUUCCUGACCGCCGUGAAGUUUGCUUUAGGAACACAAAGAGCUUGCUUGUGUUUAGGGAAAGGCCGUGGUUUGGUUUGGAACAAUCACUUAGGGGACGGUUAGGAGACCUUUGCCGCCCCCGUUGACAAUAGAACCCACUUUGGUUACGGGUCGAGAACAAGAGGGCUUUGUCACUUGAAUUUAACGGUUUUGGGCCGAUUCCUGAAACAAGAGUUUUUUUCUUCUUGGGAGAACAGUUUCCAUUUUACUUCCUUUUAUUUCAAACACCGACAUAUGCAGCCAUUAUUCACUUCAUUACGAUCUACUUCCGUCCAAAAGCACCUUUUUCUAGCCUGGAGAGUAUUGUGGUUAUAUUGGCUGUGUCUGGUUGGCCUUCGAUGUGUGAAAACAGGAAAAAGCUUCGUUACAGUUUGUCACGGUUGCGUUGAGAUCAGGGAGGCAGUUUGGCGUCUCGGAAAACCAAACGGUCCAAUAGAGAUGUAACCUGGCAGCACGCACCUCCCGGACUCCAGGUUGGCCACCGAGGUGUGUGUGUGUAUGUACGGCUGGCAUGUUCGGUGGCCAUCUGCAAAGCAACAAGGGCUCUGGCCAAGGUGUGCACAGACACACACGCACACACAGGGAGUCACCUACAUGCAAGCAUAUGCACACACCCAUGUUGCUGCAACUUGUCAAAGUGCGGGUCUGGGCAUGUGUGAUCCAAGUGAGAAAUAAUCACUCUCGAUGCAAAGAUCAAAAUCAUCUUUCCAGGAAAAUAGGCAGCUCCCUCCUGAACAAAGGCCCCCCCAGCAAAAACAUGCUCUCCGUCUCUCAAGAUCCCUCGCGCACACACAGACACACACACACACCCUACACACACACAAAUAUACGCUGCAAUAUUAAGGAAUGUGAGUAAUAUCCCUGCAGGCAAAUCAGUAAUAUUGGCCAGCGCAGAUCUAAGAUGUUGUAUUAUUCAAAUCCUCUGACUCCUGCAAUCAGCUAGAAGAAAUAUAUAAAACAUGAAAUAUAAAUGUCUGGGAUUUCAACGCGAACGGUUUGGUGUUGCCAAGGGGACAUGAAAGUUCAUUACAGACGUUUAAGUGAUUUGGCAGCGAUCAAGACGGCGAUGCUUCAUUGCCAAUGUUAUUGUUUGAAAAGUCUAGAUUAGCACCUUAAUGCCGCAGGUCUAUUGAUAGUGAUUAUGAGCUUAGCUGAACAAAGACAUUGGUGAUCGUACACAUUUAGGUGAUGAAAACGAUGCCAGAACAGGCCGGUCAAUCAAAGCCGCGAUCGCGCAGCUCUUUCAUGUUAAUCCCUUGGUGCGGCGCCGCUGAAGAUACUUGGAAUCAUUACUUAACACCAACAAGACAAAGAUCCCUGCCCCGUCCGUCCUCUCGGCCUCCGUUUGUUUGCACAAAUGCAAAGUGAGGCAGUUAUAGAUCAUAUUCGUUGAAUACGCUGAAGCUGAUUAGUGAGGAAGAAUUAAAGGCCCCCAAAGCUGCUUUUCCUAAAUCCGAGAUUAGUCAAAUAAUAAGACGCGUGUCUUCCUGCUCGCACACUCACACAUGGACAAAACGCUGGCUUUGGCUCCGUCCUGACAACCGAGCUGGUAUCUCCACUCCCUCAGAACCGUCCCUUGGCCCCGGUAGUGACAGCCCUGACUGGGAGAAGUCGCAGCGAGCCAGUAAGGCUUAUUGGCAGACCAGUGUUUCCAGUGUGAGACGUGCCGGGGAAUCUAGCUAGCGUGUCGCGCAGUGCAGAGUUGAGGAUUAACCUACUAGCACAAUUGCAGAAGUUCCAAGCUUUUUUCUUUUUCUCUCAGAAGCUGCUGGAUUUAUUUAUUUGUCUACUACGGUUCACUUAUUCAAAUAUGACUGGAAACAUGCACACAAACAGACACACUAUUAACCUCAGGGCAAACUGUUAUAUUGUGAAAAGCAGAAGAAUUUACCAUGGUUACAUUUGAAGUUAGUGAUGUAACUCCAUUUUCUCCCGAAUAAGCCUAAAAAUACAUCAUUGAGAUGAGAAGUAAAAAUGUAGAAAAAAGCUACGUGCAUAUUCCAGCAGUCAUAUUUUUAGGAAUUUUAAUCUAGUCUACCAUGCCUGAAAUAAAAAAAGUUAAAAAGAGACAAAAAAAGAUCUAGAUGAUGAGAACACAGAUAUAAAGCCAAUGCACAUGCAAAGGGAAGCAAAGCAGAGCAAAUAGAAAAUACAAUUAUCCGUGUCUGUUUGACCCGGGGGAAUUCACAGUAUAAUGCCGGUGGAUCCAAUUCACUUGCAAAAGAGUUGAGCAGGAUGUAAAGCUCGAUUCACAGCCAACUCAGACCAUGAAAAAAACCAACCGUUCACACAGACAAAGAGCUGCUGCAUCUCCACUCCAUGUGAGAACGACUGCUUGGAAUCUGCAUGAGGGGCAGAGGCACCCUGGGUAAAAACAAACACUAUAUGUACGUUGGCCUUGAUUGUCCUUUCAAACAAACACUGUGAAAGAGGACGGGGACGGCAUACGGUUUUGAGGACCGGCUACUCACCCGACAUAAGAGGGAGAUCAGGGGGCGCAACCAUUAACAUAUUCUUUUCAAAAAAGAGUCUACUCACUGGACCGUGCAUGGAGCCCUUUUUCAAAAAGAGCCCGUCUCAUACUGCUGUGAAAUGAGGUGAAAAUAAGCAGACUUAAAAGAGACGGCUUGGGAGGAAGACGUCCACCCCCCCCCCCCCCAAUGUCUGCGGAGGUUUGCCGAGGUGACCCCAACAAAUCAGCUUUUGGAUGGAGUCCAGGGAUGAAUCCGGCGCACUGGGGAACAAACACACGCGCAGGCCCGGCCUCGCUGUCAGCGGAUAUGCAUGUCAGAGCUAGCGCUGUCAUUUUCUCGCUGUGAGGGCUUUCAUCUCGUGGCUGGCUUCCCCCCUCGGCCUGCUUCGCUUGCCGGGCUCUGCCCGUCCCUGGACUGCCAACCGAAACAACGACAUGCUGCAGCCUCUCAGGCUUAUUGCACACACACACACAGAGAGCCCUGGUUCCCGAACUCAAAAUAGUCGUAGCAAUUAACAAAAUUCUGCGGGACAUAGUAAACUAAACGGCACCUCUGUCUGCGGCAGAGAUCUGUUGCAUGGAAGCGCGUCUGCCGCGCUGCAUAUUUAUCAAAGUGACAGCAGGCGUCAGGGAUACGGGGGCUCCAACAUAACCACUUACUCACUAAUGGCUUACACAGCCACGGAUCAUUAUCCCUCACAGCACAGCACAACACAACACAACGCGGCGCUUGCACGGCACCGUGCUGCACAGCACACACACACACACCCCCCUGCGCCAGCGUUGCAUUGGCUCGACUGCGGUGUGAAUUUUUGCAGGUUUAUAUGUGUCUCCGGCAUCAGAAUGGUCACGUGGUUUGUCAGUUUUGAAGUUACAAGUCCUGCUGUGUAUAGAAACUGUACGUGGCCUUUAAAUCUGAAAUGCCGUAGCUGAACAAUUCAUAGUUUUUGUCCGUCACCACUACGGCUCACAACUGCUAGAUCAGACAGGUCAAGAAGUGUAAUUGGUCAGAUGGUCAGUCAGGUUGUAAACAAGCCAACAGUCAGUCAGAUUAUUUAUAUACACCACAAAAAAAACUUUGAAACUCAUUGGAAAGGAAAAACAUGUGCAGCCAUGGACAGUAAGAAUGGUAAAAGUUGAAUCAGGACGUCCAUCUGUGAACUAUUGGGUGUUUACAAGAGACCGUUUUGAGCAAUUAUUUUACCAUUUAGCAAAUGUUCUCAUCCCAAUCCGUUUGGCUAAACGGAGGCUGUGUUUACAGCCUCCUCUGUUUCCUACACGGUCACAUUUCUGUUUGGCACCAUCCCUCUCAUCUCAGUAAUUAACUUGGCGAGUAUGAAGUUGUUACUGAUAGUAAUGUACAAUUUUGUCCCUUCUCAGGUGGAAUUAACAGCGUUAAUGCCAGUUCCACGGCUGUGGUGUUGCUCGUGUGCUCACCCACGGACCCUGUGUACUGGGAUCACCUGCGUACUUCCUGUUUUGACAAGUCGUGAAAAAGGGGAUCCAUGAUCGCCCAAACUACAAAAAUAACAUGUUGUUGUAAACCGGAAUUAUUCACCAUUCCCUUUCAUCCCGACGGUGACAAAUAGAAGCUGUCACUUCAUUGCGGAUGAAAUGCUUCAGGGAAUCCAGCUUCUAAUCCAACACUGUCAAAGCUGUUGUUUGUAUUUACAAUGAGAUAAACAGAUGUAGACCUUUCGUGUUCAAAAUUGCAAACGCAGCACUUUCUGAAUUUUGACGUGUAUGUUGUUUUUUUUUCUUCUUCUGCUAUUUCCCUAUCUAUGCAAAAUGCAUCAAAAAUAUGUUCUUUAUGAUGUGUUGCCCAACACACACGUUUGUUGACGUGAAGAUGACACGAAGCUGUGACUGGUUAGAAGACUAGAAACGACAUGUUUAGUCUCUAGUGAGGACUACGGUCAUUUGUGUGUUUUUUUUGGUUGAAUUUCUUUUUGUGUUUUUGUUUCUUUCGGUUGCCUGUGAGCAAAGUAUUCAAUUACAACAGCAAUAACACUUAAUCCACCCUGACAGCAAAGAACUGUGCUAUUCAUUGGAAACAAGAUGGUGCGCCAUAAAGGUGAUGGAAACCCUUUAUAGCUGCCUGUUCAGCCAUUUCUCUUGGCGGGCAUAAAAAGGCUAAAUAUGUUAGCCAAACUAAACUUGAUCCAUAACAUCAUUAGAGAUGCUUCCGAGUUGUGCCAAGAUGAUUUACAGACCAAAUUAAAAUGUAAUAUUUUGCUCAAGUGUUGCGUUUCCUCUUUGUUGGUCAUCUUUGCGUUUGAAAAGGUGCGAGUGUGUGAAGCAGCCUGCCGUGAACGCCGAAAAUGAGACUGGCCCCAUGAAAGCCUUUUUGAUUCAUUGGAAGAGGUGAUGGACAAAAAGGGUGCGCCAGGUACAUUCGAUUGAUGACGAGGCCGCGGCGACGGGGUUAGAUGUGAAGGGACAUGAAAGACGGAAAAGGGACUUGCAAUGCCCCAUCUGUUUGCUACGGGCGAGGGAAGUAAUGACGGAUUCAUUGUUCACUCAAUUAGAAUUCAAAGAGACAGCGGGGGGAGAGAGAGAGAGAGAGGGAGAGAGAGAGGGAGCCUGGCGUGUUGAAGAGCCCCUGUGAAGAGAGUGUGAUUUCACAGGCCAAGUGUGAAUGGCUAACACGGCUGAGCGAGGGAGGUGAGAGCAGAGCCCGAGGUGACGGAGGCAGAGGAGAUCAGCUGAGGGAGGAGAGAGAGACAGAGACAGAGAGAGACACAGAGAGAGAGAGACUUUCAUGCAGCGGAAACUUUUACAAGAGCCUUUAAAAAAAAAAGAAAUACUGCAAUUUCUUUCUUUCAGUUUUGGGCUCCACUGGACUGCAGUUCCUGUUCCCAAAAAUGUCAUUGUCCUUGAACUUCCCAAUGGCCAGUUAAAUGCUUUUAAUGUGAACUGGCAGCAGGAGGAAAUGUUCCGUUUGCAUUAAGAGCAACUUAAUACGUCCCUGGAAUGAACAGUGAACAGAAGUUUGCCUUAAGGGCUUCUUACUAAAAGGGGUUUAUUUAACCCCAAAACCGUUUUUUUCUAAAAGUAACCAAUAACAUAUGUUUUACCAAUCCUAAGAAGGAUUAUCUGGCAGAAAUCCCUGAAGGUCAAACGUCUCCCAACGUUAAUUGAUCUUGUAAAUGUGAGCAAUUUGAAUCCAGCAUGAGAAGGAAAAACUUGACCAUUGGAAUUUAAGCCAACAAAGUUGAGAGAUCAUUUAAAAAAUAGCUGAAAGAAUACCAACAAAAAGUAGUGUAAUGACAUUUUUUCCCCCAUUGAAAUAAUUUGAAAAAUGGUUUGAGACUCAAACGAGUUCGACAUUUAAACGCAAUUACAGGGAAAACUCUCUAACUAGUCUAAAAGUAAGUCAGACGUAUAGUUUGCUCCUGAAGGAUCGCCAGCCAGCAGAUGAUAACUGUCAUUUUGCAUGUUUGGCAUUUUCAACCUUUCCACAUCUCCCCAAUUUCUGCACAACACGUAUUCAAACAUCCCACUGUUGAACAAUGACAACAAAAGGACUUUUCUGUCUCAUCACCUACCAACACUUAUACACUUAGACAUUUAAAUCAAUGAGCUGCUGUACCCAGACAUACACCCGAGUGUUUCUGAUUUCAUUUAAAGUUACAGUUUCGGGGUCUUGAAGUAUCCGGUCACAGAGGCUCGGCAGUACUCAAGAAGAAGGAAAGAAGAGCGACCCGAGGGAUCGCGGACAAGAGUCGGAGUGACGUGAAAGAAGAAAGAAAGACAGACAAGGACACAGACAACAAUAGACAGGGACACUGGAGAAGGAACGAUGGAGCCACAGUGGGGGUGGUGUCACUCUGCCCCGCCGCCCUUGCAUGAGGCUGAAAGAUCAUCCGUAUCCAUUAGCAACAGAUGAGGAGAAGCACUGGCAUUCUUCAUUCUCUGCACCCAUUCUAUCAUCUGCACUUACGCUUCUUCUCCGCCGCCAUCAAUCCAACAGACAUGAAAUGCACAGUUGAUCAGCUCAAUAUUCCCCCUGUCCACUCACAGCCUCUACGCCAGCAAGAUUUGAGUCCCCACGAUGACUACCAUGGCAACCAAGGUCAAAGUGGACAUGCUUGAUGUGGAUUCAUCUACUGCAGUCUUCCAAACACUUAUGCCUCCUCUUCUGUCCUCCACCCUCCUCCUCCGUGUUUCUAUUUUGGCAGAGUCGGGCCGACCUCUCUCUCUCUCUCUCUCUGUCUAUCUGCAGGAGAUCCAGCGCCCUCAUCAAACAUGACCUCCCAGCACGGCCUCCCCCUGUUAUCGCCCGCUCUCCCCUCACUUUCUUCUCUCUCCUCCUCUCCUCUGUCCGUCCUUCUCUGGCUCGCCUUUGUUCUCCUCCACAUCAAGUGAGAGGGACGGAGGGUCGGGACCUGCAGCGGGGAGUGCUGCCGCGAGGAGGCUUUUGAUCAGACGGGGAGCCGAGAAAGGUCGCUGCAGCGGACUGUUAGAGCUCAUCCUCUGCUGCUUCAAGACGUGAACUGUUGCUCGAUCCGUCGGCCACGCGGCGCAGACGAGGAGUGUGCAUUUCAAAGAAAACAGCUUGUUGGUGCAGUUUGCUGUGUUGCUCAUACUAUUAUACUGAUACGCCGGAGCUCUGUUUUCUUUGAUUGUGUCUCCCCUCAUCGCCUCCUCUUUGGUACGUCCUCCAUUUCUGGUCAAAUUUUUCCAAGCGGCCCUCUUGGCUUGUUGAAAUGUUUCUGUUUUGCCAAAGUUUUCUCGGCUAAUAAUUUCUAGGCUAAAUUGUGCAAACGAUGAAAUUGGCUCAUUCCACAGAGGCUAUUUCCAACAAAAUAAAUACACUUUUAGAACUAAACACAUUGAGGAAACACAAUCGGAUUGCACAAUAUUGUGGGAGAACAAACAAUUCUCUGGUGGAGCUUUUUGAGAAAAUAAACGGCGCUUUUUAUUGAUAAAUUGUCUGCUAUUUGAUUCAAUUUUCAAUCCAGAAAUCCCCACGUAUUAUUUAUUCUUGGUUUUGAUGUUGUGAAUAAUGGAACAUGAUGGUGGGAAAAGGAGCAGUGCUAUUUCAGUUGACCGUUUGAUGAAGCCAUUUGAACAUUCAAAGCAGUUAUUUAGCACCGAGAAAGAGAAACACAAGAAUACUCUUUAAACAAUCUGUUGCAGCCCACCCUGUUAAUUAGUACUUUAAUUAAGAUGAGUGUGCAUGAGCUGGGAUCGUUGCCUCUCUCGACACGAACCUGAAGAAGUAACAGGUUUUUAUUUUUACGCACUUUUAAGCUUUCAGGAUUGGAGGAUGCUCGUCCACAAGCCUAAGUAGCGUUUUUUACACACUGCUGAUUCUGCAAAAGCCAAUGAUGUUUUCUUCUUCAAAUAAUUGAUGCAUCGUUGCCUCAUAUAAAAGUUUCAGUCCAAAAUGCAGAAGUUUUGUGAUCACAAAGGCAUCGUUGUUCUCGCACCAAGGCAUAUAAAACAACACACCGUCGCAGUUUGAAGUCCGGGGCCAGUUCGCUUGAGGCUGUUCAGAAAUAUAGAUUACAAAGGCGAUGCCGAGCUGAAGCUUCGCCUUUGGGGCUCUUACAGUUGUAUAUCAGCUUCAACUGCAAAAGCCUAAAAGGGGCAUUAAAUAAUCCCAUUGGUCUCACUGCUGUGAAUGACCAUAAUGUUCUGCAGUGGUUUAAAUGGCUUCUUAAUCAAUACAACCAACGUAUGUGUCCUGCGUUCUCAAGUCAAAGACAACAGUAUAAAGUACAAAGUUGGAUGCUGUAUUUAUAUACGUUUGUAAUUACCUUUGCAUUGUGGAUUCAAGGUUUUGACUGUUGCAUUCUGUGAUGAGGAGUGUCCGGUUGUUGGUAGAUAUAUUGCUGCAUAUAUUUACUUUAUUUGAACAUGAAUAAAUGAAUAUGAAUACAGCAGUAAACAUCUAUUGGCUACGUAAAAAAAUCCCAGAGGAACGUCAACCUGAAUAGACGAUGUCCUCUCCGUCUGCGCGUGUUGUUAUCGGAGCUUAACGUUCCAUAAUCAGGCCUUUAAGGGGACGUCUGUGCACCUUAGCAUCAACAUGCUUUUUACAGUAAAAAACUCAUGUGGGCUCAAGGAUCUUUGUACUCCAUAUUUAUAUUUAAAGUUAUAUAUAAUUGUGUGUAUUUAUUUAGUCUUUCUAACAGAAUGUGAAGGGUUGACAGGACACAGACUCACAAAUGAGUAUCCAAGAUGAUGCAGAAUGCAGGAGCUGGCAGACAUGUCUUCAACACAGCUGGCACAGCUCAAAGGUUAUCCGUAUAUCACAUCCAGAAAUACAUAACGCUGUGUUUGUGUGUUUGACAGCCUGUGUGUUUGUAUCAACAUCCUUAGUGCCGAGUCCAACAAAGGAGGCCUGUUGAGACCUGCAGAAGUCGGUUAGAGGCCGGGAAAAUGAGGACGCCAAGAAAAAGCAUCAGGAGGAUGAGGGAAGGGAGGAAGGUAAACAUUGGGAACGAGAGGGAAAGGAGAGGCCGGCCAGCAGCUUGUGUGGAGAGAUUCUCUCCCAUCGGGCAGCAGGUGCUGACUCAGGACGGAGCGCAGAUGAUUGCUGGCCCAGGUGAGGGUGUAAUUUCCUGUCCGUGGGGGUGUGUGGGCUUCGCACCUGCCGAGAGGCAUCCUGAAACACAGCUGCUCACCCUCAACGAGGCACCGGCCAGUUAGGUAAUAAAGAUGAUAACAGUGCGAAUAAGUCGCACAUGUUUCAUCUGAAGCGCGACGAAACCACCACGCGCUCCGAUUAACUUCAACAAGUGGGCGGGGCGUGAGGACAAGACGGAGGUUGCCAGAUCGAAUGUUUAUAUAGUAAAUAAAAGAGACACGUUGGCCUUUCGGUGAGCAUUAAGCAAAAUGCUUUGAACAGGCGGUGUAUAAGGAACCAGUCUAAAACGUUGGCCUGGAGAGAAAACUAAUGCUUGCGCUUGACCAUUUGAGCAUGAGAGAACGAUCCAGCGACGCCUGCAGAAAUCAAAUAAAAGGAUACUUGAAGCCGAUUAGGCAAAGAGGGGCCUUUCGGUGCUUUUGUCCAAUUAGAAAUGCCUGGAUAACUCACGUCACAAAAACUAGAUUUUUGUUCUCAGUCUGUAAAUUACCUUUUGCAUAUAUUAAUUGGACAUAUGUUACACCACUGCUGUGGUACAGAAUCGCUGACGUAUUAGCCUCAUGAAUUGCUUAUUAUAUUUAGUUCCAUCCAGAAAAUGCUAAUCACCACGCAAUGUUUUACAACAUCUGGAGGAGAAUACCAAAUGGUAUCACUGCACAGCCAACCUUGAUCCGCUUUCACUAGUAUGAAUAUUAAAACCGACACAUCCACAUAAAAUAGUGAUGGUUGAGG
ensembl:lncRNA